rnacentral:tRNA from 1 species
GAGGGGAUAGCUCAGUGGUAGAGUACAUGCCUAGUAUGCACGAGGUCCUGGGUUCAAUCACCAGUACCUCCA